UAGCCGUAGGUGAACCUGCGGAAGGAUCAUUCAUAAUAAGUGUUUAUGGCACUUUUUAAAAUCCAUAUCCACCUUGUGUGCAAUGUUAAAAAUGUCGGUCCAGUUUCCUGGGCGAGAUUUUUUUAUACAUCAACCCUUUCUAAAACCUAUUUGUCUGAAAAAUAUUAUGAAUUACUUAAUUCAAAAUACAACUUUCAACAACGGAUCUCUUGGCUCUC
rnacentral:misc_RNA from 1 species